rnacentral:rRNA from 1 species
GAUGAACGCUGGCGGCGCGCCUAACACAUGCAAGUCGAACGGCACCCCUCCUCGGAGGGGAGCGAGUGGCGAACGGCUGAGUAACACGUGGAGAACCUGCCCCCUCCCCCGGGGUAGCCGCCCGAAAGGACGGGUAAUACCGGAUACCCCGGGGUUCCUCAUGGCACCCCGGCUAAAGCCCCGACGGGAUGGUAUGGCUCCGCGGCCCCUCAGGUUGGCGGCGGGGGGACGGCCCCCCGUUCCGACAACGGGUAGCCGGGUUGCGAGACCGACCGGCCAAAUUGGGACUGAGACAAGGCCCAGGAUCCUACGGGGAGGAGGAGUGGGGAAACUUGGGAAAUGGGGGGAAAGCUGACGCAGCGACGGCGCGUGCGGGACGGAGGCCUUCGGGUCGUAAAACGCUUUCAGCAGGGAAGAGUAAAGACUGUACCUGCAGAAGAAGCCCCGGCUAACUACGUG